GGAUUAGAUACCCUGGUAGUCCACGCUGUAAACGAUGAGAACUUGCUGUUGGGCACAUAAAGGUGCUUAGUAGCGGAGCUAACGCGUUAAGUUCUCCGCCUGGGGAGUACGGUCGCAAGAUUAAAACUCAAAGGAAUUGACGGGGGCCCGCACAAGCGGUGGAGCAUGCGGUUUAAUUCGAUGCAACGCGAAAAACCUUACCUACUCUUGAAUCCACGGAAUCCAACAGAGAUGUUGGAGUGCCUUCGGGAACCGUGAGACAGAUGUUGCAUGGCUGUCGUCAGCUCGUGUUG
rnacentral:rRNA from 1 species